rnacentral:misc_RNA from 1 species
GUUUGUGGCAUGUACUUUUCUCAAAUGAAAUGACAACUGCAUCUCACUAAUGCUGGGAAUUGUAUUGAAGUUAAUUCCAUUUCAAUAUUCAUUUAAAUUCUCCUUUUCUUUUAUAGAUAUUGAAUUCCAUGAAGUUGAGAAUUCUAUGAUGCACCUUUAACCUGUUCUUCAUAAAUUGUUCAUACUAGUGCUUGUUGAAGUG